GAUGAACGCUGGCGGCGUGCCUAAUACAUGCAAGUCGAGCGAACAGAUGAGGAGCUUGCUCCUCUGACGUUAGCGGCGGACGGGUGAGUCACACGUGGAUAACCUACCUAUAAGACUGGGAUAUCUUCGGGACACCGGAGCUAAUACCGGAUAAUCUAUUGAACCGCAUGGUUCAAUAGUGAAAGACGGUUUUUCUGUCACUUAUAGAUGGAUCGGAGCCGCAUUAGCUAGUUGGUAAGGUAACGGCUUACCAAGGCAACGAUGGGUAGCCGACAUGAGAGGUGGAACACCGACCUGGGUCCUACGGGAGGGAGCAGUAUGGAAUGUGCCGCAGCAGGCGGAAACCUUGCGGAACGGCGCCAAGUGAGAUGUAGAAGUCUUCCGAUCGGAAUACUCUGUUUUGAGGGGAAAACAAAUGUGGAAGGAACUGUGCACGUCUUGACGGUACCUGAUCAGAAAGCCACGGCUAACUACGUG
rnacentral:rRNA from 1 species